AGGCACUCCCAUCUCUCUCACUGGAGCCUGUUCUCUGAAGAAACAGGGUGUAACCUAAAUGAUGAGAGUGUUAAAUCUUGUGUACCUGUUGACAGCCCUUCCUGGUAUCCUGUCUGAGGUGCAGCUUGAAGAGUCAGGACCUGCCCUGGUAAAACCCUCUCAGUCAUUGUCCCUCACCUGUUCUGUCACUAGCUACUCCAUCACCACCAGUGGUAAUGGCUGGAACUGGAUCAGGCAGAUUCCAGGAAAUAAGCUGGAGUGGAUGGUGUACAUAAGCUACGAUGGUAGCACUAUUUACAACCCAUCUCUCAAAAGUCGAAUCUCCAUCACUAGAGACACAUCCAAGAACCAGUUCUUCCUACAGUUGAACUCUGUGACUACCGAAGACACAGCUACAUAUUACUGUGCAAGAGACACAGUGUGGAAUCUUUAG